GGAUCAGACUGAUACGAUGAAGUCAUAGAUGGUAGCUGUUUAUCAUCGCUUCUGUGUUAUGCAUGAGGAUGUCCACAAAUACUUCGGUUCUUUCUUCUUCUGGGCACACGAUGAAUAAAAUGGGGCCAGGAGAAGCAGCCCCCUCUCCAAAGCCAUGCAGCUUCUAAGAAAUAACAGCCACCCCAGGCUUCAGGCUCCAAGACCAGCACUCUUGCUCCUGCUCCACAGCCACCAAGACCACCAGCUGCCAUGUUGGGAGGACACUCAAGCAGCCCGUGGAGGAACUCCCACGGUGAGGAGUCUGCCAACAAUCAGAUGGGUGAACUGGGACAUGUAUCUUCCUAGGCCUGCCAACAUGUGAAUAGGCUGGGAAGUGGAUCUUUGACCCCCAUGUUGAGCCUUCAGAUGAAACCACAGCCCUGGUGAACAGCUUGAUGCAACCUCAUGAGAUACCUCAGAGCAGCAGUCCCCAACCUUUCUGGCACCUGGGACCAGUUUCGUGGAAGGCAAUCUUCCCACAGACCGGGGUUGGGGGUUGAGGAUGGUUUUAGGAUGAAACUCUUCCACCUCAGGUCAUUAGGCAUUAGAGUCUCAUAAGGAACACACAACCUAGAUCCCUCUUCAUGCUCCUAUGAGAAUCCAGUGCUGCUGCUGAUCUGGCAGGAGGUGAAGCUCAGGCAGUAAUGCUCACUUGCCCACCUCUCACCUUCUGCUGUGCAGCCUGAUCCUAACAGGCCAUAGACCAGUACCAGCCUAUGUCCUGGGGGUUGGGAACUCCUGUCUUGGAGUACAGGUACCCAGCUGAGCUGUGGAAGAUUCUCAACACAGGGAAUGUGUAGAAUAAUGAAGAUUUAUUGUUUAAAGCUACUAAGUUUCGGAGUAAUUUGUUAUGCAGCAAUAGGUAACUAAUACACCAUCAAAUGCAUUUUGCUCAGUCAGAUUGCAAGGCAGACCCUACUAGAGCUCCAGCUGCAACCCUGUUUUUCAGGAUAUAAAAGUAUAUAUUGUGGUAGACCAAAUAAUGAGCCUCCUAAAAUGUCCACAUUCCUAAUUUCCUGGAACAUACCGUGGAGUGUGUUACACCACAAGACAAAAGGGACUUUGCAGAUGUAAUUAAAGUUACAAACUUUAAAAUACAUUAUCUUAGAUGAGCUGAGUGGGUCCAAUCUAAUUACCUGAGCCCUUAAAAACAGAACUUUGGCUGGAGGCAGGAGAGAUUUGCCGGAAGUGGAAGUUGGAAAGAUUCAGUGUGAGAGGACCUCACUGUUCCUGGAAAAGGCAACAUGUAAAGCGUGAUAAUGAAGAUGGGCAGCCUCUAGGAGCUAAGACUCCACCGCAGCUGAUAGCCAGCAAGAAGACGGGGAUCUGGGCUGUCAGGAGCUGAACAACCUGAAAAAGCUUGAAAGCAAUUCAGUGCUGGAGUCGCCAGAAAGGAAUGCAGUCCUGCUAACUCCUUGAUUUUGGCCCUAUGAAAGCCAGGGAAGAAAAAUCAGUAGCGCCAAUUGAGACUUCAGACCUACAGAGGUCUAAGAUAAAUAAAUUUGUGUUAUUUUCAGUU